AAAUUAUUUCUUUGUAAGUCUAUGUAUUCAAGUUCUGAGGCAUUGGAUAAUGAUGCAGGAAUCGAUCCACUAAAGUGGUUUCCCCAUAUUUGAAAGCUCUGAAGAUGAGGCAAGAGGAAGCCAAUAUCUGAUGGAAGAGUUCCAUGAAGUUGAUUUUCAUUCACAGAGAUCACAUUGAUGGAUGAAAUAUUAUAAAUGGCUGGAGGAAUGAUACCUGAGAGUUUAUUCGUAGCAACUGCAAGCAUUGACAAGGACUUGAGUUGCCCUAGAGAUUCUGGAAUAGUUCCACUGAAGAAAUUCUCACGAGCAGACAAGGCUUCCAAUGAGGUAAGGUUCCCCAUGGAAGGUGGUAUACUUCCACUCAAAUAAUUAUCCUGA
rnacentral:misc_RNA from 1 species